rnacentral:rRNA from 1 species
ACAAGCGGUGGAGCAUGUGGUUAAUUCGAAGCAACGCGAAGAACCUUACCAGGUCUUGACAUCCCGAUGCUAUUUCUAGAGAUAGAAGUUACUUCGGUACAUCGGUGACAGGUGGUGCAUGGUUGUCGUCAGCUCGUGUCGUGAGAUGUUGGGUUAAGUCCCGCAACGAGCGCAACCCCUAUUGUUAGUUGCCAUCAUUCAGUUGGGCACUCUAGCGAGACUGCCGGUAAUAAACCGGAGGAAGGUGGGGAUGACGUCAAAUCAUCAUGCCCCUUAUGACCUGGGCUACACACGUGCUACAAUGGUUGGUACAACGAGUUGCGAGUCGGUGACGGCGAGCUAAUCCCUUAAAGCCAAUCUCAGUUCGGAUUGUAGGCUGCAACUCGCCUACAUGAAGUCGGAAUCGCUAGUAAUCGCAGGUCAGCAUACUGCGGUGAAUACGUUCCCGGGCCUU